rnacentral:lncRNA from 1 species
AUUGUACUUAACUGAAUUUUAUAACGCUGAUCGAUAUCUUGGUAAAAUAUUCAUUUUUAAACUAGCGGGCAGUGAAAUCUUUGCUUUGUGUGCUAAAGUCAACAGUCGCUCGGUUUGAGCUCAAAUAAAUGCAGGGAUGCCUCGGCUGGGAGCAGUCCGCCGCCUCCCUUCGAGCGCAGGACGCUCCGACGCCCGCCUGCCCGCAGGCCACCGCAGAUUGUUUGGAGAAGUUCAGUACAACGUUGAAAGUAUUUCUGGACAAAAAUCACAAAUGUUAUCUGUGGGAGAGGGAUUUACUUUUCUGCCUUCACAUUGGGAGUGUAAAGCGGCUUUCCCGAACUUUCCCUGUGCUGGUACACAGGGUCUCCAUAAACCAGCCCGCCACCUGGGAACCCAGAUCAUCACUUUUCUUAAAUAUCAAAUUGCCCCGAUUAGCAACGUGUCCCUAAAGUCAGGACUGCUUCAGCAUCCCGGAUUCACUUUCGGAGCUGAGCCGCGGUUGCUGUCCGGGGCCCUAGAAGCAGCGCAUCUUGCAACUCGAGCGGGCUAGGACUCCCAAUCUGUGGGUUGGCUAGCGGAGCCGCCAGUGCGACCCUGGCUGUUUCCAGCUCGCCGACCACUGGCCACAGAGAUGCGCCAAACCCCUGAGAGCCAGCGGGCCCAGGUGAAACGCUUCUCCUCUGUGCUCUCAAAGCUUACUGGGACUCCGCCGGGCCCAAAGAAAAGGCAAGUGCCCUCCCAGUGUCGGGAAGAAGGAGUAAAUAAAAGAGUUAGAGAAGCAGGCUCGCGGCAGGUGAGAGUGGCAACCUUUGGUUAUGCGAUCCAAAUUCUAGAAUGUGAGGAACCCACCCUCGUCGGUCUUGAUAGCUAGUUGGGCGAGACUGGACCUGCUCCGCUGCCCCCACAGUGGGCAAGACACUUUUCUUCUCUUCCACCCCUCCCCCACGACCUUCGGGUCCCUGGGAAAACCAAACUUGGGUCUCUGCUUCAGGUGCCAAGGUCAGCAGUUUUCGGAGACAGCCUUGGGCCAAGGGGACCCCCACAGUGGCCAGGCUGUGCUAACGCGGUGUAGGAAAAAUUUUCACGUUUUUUGGUGACCUCUGCGGAUUUUCGUUUUGCCCUUCCUGUCCACCCACUCCGGGCCCAAGCAGCCUUGCCUCUAGCCCACAGUCGCAAAGAGCGUUCUGACUUUUUCUUCUCUGGGGAGGAAGACAGUUGAUGGCCUGUGUGUCAUUCCUUUCUCCCUUCUGCCUUUCCCAGACCUGGUGGUCCGAAGGGCAGCCCCAGUUAAAGAAUGAUAACUCCUGUCCAGCCGUGGGCAGGCGUGGAAGCCGGUUUUUACUUGAAACCUGCCGGUCUGUUUCUUUUUCAGGAACCCCACCGGUGCAGAGCAGGGACACUGCGCCAAGAAGACAGCCCCCGAGGCUCCUGGGCAGAUCCCCUCAUUCUGAAAGGAUUCCUUUGAGACUUUGCUGUUGAGGGAGCCAUUUUUUCAUCAUUCUUGCUUGUGUUUGGAAUUGCUGCAAAGUUGGAUUUGCUUAUUCAUAGCUACUGGAACAAAAAGAUGAGCCAGAGGGAAGACAUUGGCAGGUCUGUUUGCCUAAGAGAACCAUGUGACUUUGGAAGCACAGAAGCUUCUCCCCACACUGAACUUUGACCCUCACAAGAAUGUCCCCAAAGGGCCAUCAUGACACUACAGAUAGCCCUACAUACUCUACUCAGUGUUUACUGCAGCUAAACGAAGGAAUGAGGCAAAACAAGGCUGACUUAUAGAGAAGUGGCGGUGGUCCUGCCCCGGGUGGGUGCUGUGCUGUAUGCAAAUGCAGACAACUGAAGGAUUAUACACAAUGGAGCAUCAGCCAUGAGAAUUCUCAGUGGAAAGAUCUUAAAAUAAAAAGUGUUGAUUUGACCACCCCACAGAACUGAAGUUAUCCAAGUUAUUUAAUCUACCCCAAGUUACCAAAUCUUAUGGGGAAUAAACAGUGGUGUUGUGUGUGUGUGUGUGUGUGUGUGUGUGUGUGUGUGUGUGUGUGUGACUCAUUGCUAGAAAUCUUUUAUCAUAAGACCCAAGGAAUGACGUGAGAUAGGAGAUUGCUUCAAUGGCCAGGAGGUAUUUACCAACUCGAUGAAUUUUGUGGUGAAAAGUGGCUGGCUACCCAUAUCUUGGGGACCUUCCUUUGUUGGUCUGACAAUGUUGGAAGUUAAUCCAUACUUCUUAGAAAGAUGAACAGGACAAGAAUAGAAAAACUCCUGGAAGACUAUCUUGGAAGGGCAGGGCAGGCUGACCAAUAAGCUCCUGGGAGGUCAGGUAAAGCAGGAUUUACCAAAACCCAGGCCACACUCAACACCUAUUGACUAGUCAGGGACUAAGGAUGCCACACCUACAGUGAUGUUUUUCUACAUUGCAAAUGUGGAGAGACUUUUUCUGUUCCUUAUUCCCAGGUGAAGAAGGACAUACAGAGAAUGAAACCCAACCUGCUUAAAGCAAAACACACCAACCCCAGCGUGCAGCCUGCCACCUCCUCUUCCCUUAUGAAGGCCUUUGCAAGCUGGGGGGUGGGGGCUAUAUGUGCGAAUUUUCAGAGUGCUUUGUUUCUGUGGAGAGGAUUCCAGAGGCUCUUGAAGUCCUCUCAGCCUUAAAUCCACGGGGAAGUCUCCCCACCCCCCACCUCCCUGCACCCGCCUUGGGGAGGUUUGGUUGGAAGAAAACUGACCCUGAGUGCACCCUGGGCAAACUAGGGUGAAAGACCUGAUAUGGUCUGCAGGGUACUUAUUAACCACCGUUCAUUUGCAGGAUCGAUACUUCUGGCAAAGAAGUCAACACUGAAGAUAUACCACGUUGUCUGGCUCUUUCCUUGACACAACAAUUUAUUUAAUAAAUGCAUCUCCUGCAGAAGAAGGCACCAGGCACUGUGUCUUUUAUCUGCAGGAUAUGCAAAGCGCAUUUAUUCAGCUUUUAUCUCUGGAAUUGUAUGCUGAUCCCAUACAUAUAGAUUGAUUUUGUUCAGGUAGAUAAUGAAAAGUCAAGUGGAAAAUUACACAAUGGCACUCACGAUCCCGGUCUUAUAUCGGUAUAUAAAUUGGUUUAUUAUUUCAUUCUAUUAAAGGGGCUCCCCCCCUCAGGAAAACUUGAAAAUGCACUGUAUUGUCUGCCUGUCUGGAUUUUCUUGGGAGAAGGAGGUUGAAAGGAGAGGGAGGGCGAGAUGAUUUCCAUUUUUUCCAUUCUUUUGGUUAAUUGUACCGGAUAAGUAAGCAGCACCCGAGGGUGUCCUGGGGACUGUCUGCUUCCCACAGCCCACUUCAGAGUCAAGUCCAGGGCUUCUGUGAUUUAGACCAUUACGGAUGAAAAUAAAUCUGCCCCUCCCCAAGCAUCCUGCUACAGAGGUGUAUAUUUUUACCAAAGGCAAUUUAUAAUUUUGUCCUGGUGACUGAAAGUGGUAACUCCCUCUGGAGUGUGGGGAGGCCAGGGGUGAGAGGGUGACAGCAGGAGGAGGCCACCAUCCAGGGACAGCUCUGAGCUGGAAUCCUGGAGGAAACGUUAUUAAUAAACAUCUUCUGGACAUUUGGCAGCCCGUGGAGCUUGCUCCAGCUUAAAGCAAUUAAUUCAGGACACCGACAUCAACUCUCCAGGUCUUUGACAGCUUGGAGCCGAAAUAAAAAUGCUAGUUCUCCGGGGAAGAGGGGAGGAGGGCCCGCUCUUUGCUGGACUGUUUGCUUAUGGGCCCAGCGAGCAACCUUCCCUGCAGAAUGAAAUGCAAGGUCGCACACAACGAACCGGCAGAGAAUAGAAGAUGGGAACGAACAGUUUGAACUAUUUGCUCAGCAGAAGGGCACCACAAUGCUGGGGUAGUGGCUUUCCCAUGCAUCCACUGUCCCUUCUUUGGGAUCUUUUGUUGUCCCUGUCUCCUUUGGCCAGAUAAGAACACAGCUGCAGCCUUGCAGCUAAGUAAGGCUUCGCUUAUCCCCUUAAAUCUCGGGGUGUCUUUACUGUACCAGGCAUAGAUCAGCUCUUUCUUUUUUGACCAGGGGACUGGGAGGGAGGGAAUG